rnacentral:rRNA from 1 species
CCUACGGGAGGCAGCAGUGAGGAAUAUUGGUCAAUGGACGAGAGUCUGAACCAGCCAAGUAGCGUGAAGGAUGACUGCCCUAUGGGUUGUAAACUUCUUUUAUAUGGGAAUAAAAUGUUUCACGUGUGGGAUUUUGUAUGUACCAUAUGAAUAAGGAUCGGCUAACUCCGUGCCAGCAGCCGCGGUAAUACGGAGGAUCCGAGCGUUAUCCGGAUUUAUUGGGUUUAAAGGGAGCGUAGGUGGAUUGUUAAGUCAGUUGUGAAAGUUUGCGGCUCAACCGUAAAAUUGCAGUUGAAACUGGCAGUCUUGAGUACAGUAGAGGUGGGCGGAAUUCGUGGUGUAGCGGUGAAAUGCUUAGAUAUCACGAAGAACUCCGAUUGCGAAGGCAGUUCACUGGACUGCAACUGACACUGAGGCUCGAAAGUGUGGGUAUCAAACAGGAUUAGAUACCCGUGUAGUC